rnacentral:rRNA from 1 species
GACGAACGCUGGCGGCGUGCUUAACACAUGCAAGUCGAGCGGUAAGGCCUCUUCGGGGGUACACGAGCGGCGAACGGGUGAGUAACACGUGGGUGACCUGCCCUCAGCUCUGGGAUAAGCCUGGGAAACUGGGUCUAAUACCGGAUAUGACCUUUCCUCGCAUGGGGUUUGGUGGAAAGUUUUUUCGGCUGGGGAUGGGCCCGCGGCCUAUCAGCUUGUUGGUGGGGUGAUGGCCUACCAAGGCGACGACGGGUAGCCUGCCUGGGGGGGCGACCGGCCACACUGGGACUGAGACACGGCCCAGACUCCUACGGGAGGCAGCAGUGGGGAAUAAUGCGCAAUGGGCGGGAGCCUGACGCGGCGACGCCGCGUGGAGGAUGACGGCCUGCGGGUUGUAAACCUCUUGCGACCCCGACGAAUUUGGGCGGUAGGGGUAGGAGAAGCACCGGCCAACUACGUG